UACGGAGGGUGCAAACGUUGCUCGGAAUCAUUGGGCGUAAAGAGCGCGUAGGCGGUCCGGUAAGUCGGUUGUGAAAGUCGGGGGCUCAACCCUCGGAUGCCGAUCGAUACUGUCGGGCUAGAGUCCGGAAGAGGCGAGUGGAAUUCCCGGUGUAGCGGUGAAAUGCGCAGAUAUCGGGAGGAACACCAAUUGCGAAGGCAGCUCGCUGGGACGUUACUGACGCUGAGACGCGAAAGCGUGGGGAGCAAACAGG
rnacentral:rRNA from 1 species